ACUUCGGUUUGCAACAGAGAAGCAAGAUGGUUGCACUAACAACACAAGUUUGAUUCUUCACAGCAAAAGGACUAGGCUACCGGGUGAUUCUAGUAAUCCUGCAUUCCACUCUUCGCAGAGGACAGCGGUUGACUGCAUGAUUUUGGGAUUCCCCCAUUCAGUUGCUGGGCUACAGACACAUUGGUCUUUCACCUAUUCUGGUCUACUGUUCUAUUACUCCAUCUGUUACAACUACUACUACUUCAAGACAGCUACUUCAAAACUUCAAUCCACUGAAAUCAAUAAAGCUAACUGACAAGUGAAGAACCUCCUGCUGUCAGUGACCAAGACGCAAAGACUCCACUCACACCACAAACCAACAGAGAUGGAAGACACUUCACCUGUGGGGUCGGGCGAUAAAGAAUGACAAAAGAAAAACAAAAAUCACAA